UACGGGGGGGGCAAGCGUUGUUCGGAAUUACUGGGCGUAAAGGGCUUGUAGGUGGCCAACUAAGUCAGACGUGAAAUCCCUCGGCUUAACCGGGGAACUGCGUCUGAUACUGGAUGGCUAGAGUGUGGGAGAGGGAUGCGGAAUUCCAGGUGUAGCGGUAAAAUGCGUAGAUAUCUGGAGGAACACCGGUGGCGAAGGCGGCAUCCUGGACCACGACUGACACUGAAAAGCGAAAGCCAGGGGAGCAAACGGG
rnacentral:rRNA from 1 species